rnacentral:rRNA from 1 species
AACGCUAGCGGCGGGCCUAAUACAUGCAAGUCGAGGGGCAGCGGGGGUAGCAAUACUUGCCGGCGACCGGCGCACGGGUGCGUAACGCGUAUGCAACCUACCUUUGACACGGGAAUAGCCCGAAGAAAUUCGGAUUAAUACCCGAUGGUAUCAUUUGGUGACAUCGCCGGAUGAUUAAAGAUUUAUCGGUCAGAGAUGGGCAUGCGUCUGAUUAGCUAGUUGGUGAGGUAACUGCUCACCAAGGCUACGAUCAGUAGGGGUUCUGAGAGGAUGAUCCCCCACACCGGUACUGAGACACGGACCGGACUCCUACGGGAGGCAGCAGUAAGGAAUAUUGGUCAAUGGGCGCAAGCCUGAACCAGCCACGCCGCGUGCAGGAAGACGGCCCUACGGGUUGUAAACUGCUUUUGUUUGGGAAGAAACCCUCCUUUGCGAAGGAGACUGACGGUACCAGACGAAUAAGCACCGGCUAACUCCGUGCCAGCAGCCGCGGUAAUACGGAGGGUGCAAGCGUUAUCCGGAUUUAUUGGGUUUAAAGGGUGCGUAGGCGGCCUGUUAAG